GAACUACAGUAAAUGAAGUGGAUUUGUACUACACAUAAUUAUGCAUAACAAUUUUGUUCUCUUCAUGGUGAUGUAUCCUAGUUACACAAAGGUAUAAACUUUUCAUAGUUGGGCACACUGGAUAUUAUUAAAUGUAUGUAGUUAUGUCCUUGAGCUGUUCUUGUCUAAUGAUGUUCUGUAUUAUGUCAUUCUGAAGUUUAUGUUUCAUCUUUUGUGUUGGACCCCAGGAAGAGUAGCUGCUGCUUUUGCAACAGCUAAUGAGGAUCCUAAUAAAAUAACAAAUAACAAAUUAUUUUAAUGAGCUCCGCCCCAAACAAGAUCAAAUUAGGUUGGACCAGACCAAAUAUGAAACAAUAGACAUCUAUCUUUCACAAGUUUGGACAUCAAAGUACAACACAGUAGAGUACAGUAAACUUCAGUACAGUAUAGUACAGUACAAUAGAGUUCAGUGCCGUAUAGUACAGCACAGUAUAUUAGUGUGCUCAACUCUAGUGUGGUCUACUGUGUACUGUACUGAAUUCUAAUCUACUGUACAGGACUGUGCUCUCCUAACUUGUGAAACAUGGGCCGAAUCAAGGCCGGUCGGGACCGGACCAAAAAUCAAUGGACGUUGAAAUUAAAGCCGGUCCGGAACAUAUCAAACAACGACGUCUGUGCACACUGAAAUCAAGCCCAGGGCGAACUGACCAAAUGUCAACUACUUUUCAAUGUCUUUGGACAUCCGGAUGCUGGUUACAGUAAAUGGACAGAAAGGGGCUCGUGGGUAGGUGUCUCAGAGAGAUUACAGUAAAUGGACAGAAAGGGGCUCGUGGGUAGGUGUCUCAGAGAGAUUACAGUAAAUGGACAGAAAGGGGCUCGUGGGUAGGUGUCUCGGAGAGAUUACAGUAAAUGGACAGAAAGGGGCUCGUGGGUAGGUGUCUCGGAGAGAUUACAGUAAAUGGACAGAAAGGGGCUCGUGGGUAGGUGUCUCGGAGAGAUUACAGUAAAUGGACAGAAAGGGGCUCGUGGGUAGGUGUCUCGGAGAGAUUACAGUAAAUGGACAGAAAGGGGCUCGUGGGUAGGUGUCUCGGAGAGAUUACAGUAAAUGGACAGAAAGGGGCUCGUGGGUAGGUGUCUCGGAGAGAUUACAGUAAAUGGACAGAAAGGGGCUCGUGGGUAGGUGUCUCGGAGAGAUUACAGUAAAUGGACAGAAAGGGGCUCGUGGGUAGGUGUCUCGGAGAGAUUACAGUAAAUGGACAGAAAGGGGCUCGUGGGUAGGUGUCUCGGAGAGAUUACAGUAAAUGGACAGAAAGGGGCUCGUGGGUAGGUGUCUCGGAGAGAUUACAGUAAAUGGACAGAAAGGGGCUCGUGGGUAGGUGUAUCGGAGAGAUUACAGUAAAUGGACAGAAAGGGGCUCGUGGGUAGGUGUAUCGGAGAGAUUACAGUAAAUGGACAGAAAGGGGCUCGUGGGUAGGUGUCUCGGAGAGAUUACAGUAAAUGGACAGAAAGGGGCUCGUGGGUAGGUGUCUGAGAGAUUACAUUAAUGAGAGAGAGACCAGAAUGUUUUCACACUUGCUUGACCACCUGACGCCAGAAAGAGAAAGAGAACCAGUAUGCCAGUGGAAGGGAGGACCGUAGCAGGUGACCCAACUGUAGUUUGCGACUUCGAUGAUUUCCCAUUGUAGCCAAUUAAAUUGCAGUAAUUCCGUACCAGAUUUUUCAGAAAUUAUGUAAACAGUUUUAAUCACUUAAUAAUUCAGAAACAAAAUAGAUAUCAGUAAAAACACUAGAACUAAUUGAUAGGUCUACCUUUACUUGUUACUUCCGUGAGCUAUCUUCAUCCUCCCUCAUGAGGGAGAGAUAUGUGAAAAUAUCUUAAAAGAUAUGUGGUGUUUUGGUAACAGAAUGUCAAGGUACAAGGCAACGUUUCUUAAACUCACAAGCAAAACUAAAUAUAAGUGUCUGACUUUACUUCGACGU